GCCGGCUUGCCUGGCCGGGGUUGGGGGACGCCUCCCUCCACCAUCCACGCCUCCCUCCCGGCUCCGCCAGCUCCGCCCAGGAGCACCCGUUUGGCCGCGGAGCGCCCGGUCCAGUGCGCGCCCCUCUCUCUCCACCAGUGCGGGAGAUGCGCUAGGCGAGCAGGAAGGAAGGAAGGAAGGAGGCGGCUGGCGCUCGUGAUGGGAGAUCGUCCAGGCGAGGGCUGGAGGGAGGGAGGCACCCCCUCUCUCCCGCCCACACACACACACCCGCACCCGCACACACCCCGCCGAAAGGCUGGAUGGAAAGAGGGGGAACGAAAGCGAAAAGACGCACCUGCGAGUUUGGAUCGGCUGUCUUAUUGACUUGCGAGGUGCUUCAAGGCUGCUCAGUCACAGAAGUAUUUGAGACUCUGGAGCUGCUGAUAAAGUUCAGAAGAAAGGAUAUUAUUAGAAGAAAACUCCAGUCAUUCAGCUGUAAAAUGAAGUGAAAUGAAAUGAAAUGAAGAGAAGCAGUGAACAACAAUGGGUGCUUCCAAAUCCCCUUCCUUUCAUCUAAUGCCACACGAUUCUGUUGUGGUUCCUUGUGCCAAAUGUGGAUAAUCUAGAAGCAAGUAGGACAGUAACUAGUGGGCCCCUCCAAACUCUGCACUGCGAUGAUGAUGAUGAUGACCAGCUUGAAGGAAUUUCAAAUUAUAAACUAAGCAAAGUUCAGUCUUGUAGUCAGCAUAAUGUCCUGUGUAUUUUUUUAUAUAUUGUGUAAUCUGGUGCUGGUUUUGCUUAUCCUAAGCUGACUGGAUGGCUCAAUGAGUUGGAACACUUGGAGCUAGUGGCUCAGGAAUUAGAUCCCCCCCUCCCAUGCCUUCCAGGAGAAAAGCCAGCCUGUGUAGUUUAGGGCAAGCUACAUAGUUCUUACUCCAAGUUUUACCUCAAACCAUCACCAUUCUUACUCUCCUCCUGGUUUCUGAUAAUCUCUCAGACAUUGCUUAUAUCUUUAUAAUUUAUCUGUAUAACAGUGUUAAACUGUCUUUUAAUUUACAUGAAAAGGAAUUAUAUGCUUGGGAGGUUGGGUUCUGCUUCCCAGUGAUUCUUUCCUUAUAGUUGUAUAGACCUCUGUCCCCCAAGCUUCCUUUCCAUUGAAAGUGGCCCAAGAUAAAGGGGAAAAAAUGUUAUUACACAUAACAAGUAAAAUUAAUUUGAAUAUGUCAUAAACUUUAAAAAGUCACUACUAAAAAUUUCAUGGUCUAAAUCUAACUGAUAGCCCCAACUGGUACAUUCUGAUCAACUGAGUCAGCUGUUGAAUGGGGAAUCUAUCACAUGCUUCAUGGCUUAAUCAAGAAGCCAUGUUUAACAUGAACAAUAGCUUACUGUGACAUAUACAUGCAUAAACUUUAUUGUUUCUGACCAUAGGCCUUUACAAUGUACAUAUAGUAUAUAAAAUCCAAUUAAAACAGGCAAUUGCCAUAAAACCAAUAAAACUCGGUC
rnacentral:lncRNA from 1 species